GAUGAACGCUGGCGGCGUGCUUAACACAUGCAAGUCGAACGGAAAGGCUCCUUUUUGCUUGGGUACGCGAGUGGCGAACGGGUGAAUAACGCGUGGGUGAUCUGCCCUGCACUUGGGGAUAAUCUGGGGAAACUGGGUAUAAUACCGGAUAGGACCGCUAGGUGGUUGUAGUGGUAUGAAGGUUUUGCGGUGUGGGAUGAGCUCUCGGGCUAUCAGAGUUGUUGGGGGGGGAUGGGGUACCAAGGCGUGGUGAGGGGUCCGGCCUUGGAGGGGGUACGGGCACAUUGGGACUGAGAUACGGCCCAGAACCCUAAGGGAGGCAGCAGUGGGGAAUAUUGCACCAUGGGCGCAAGAGUGAUGCAGCGACGUCGUGUGGGGGAUGACGGCUUUCGGGGUAUAAACUGCUUUUGCAGGGGACGAAGAGUAAUUGACGGUACCUGGAGAAGAAGCAACGGCUAAAUACGUG
rnacentral:rRNA from 1 species